CGUAACGCGUAUAGAAUCUGCCUUAUACUGAGGGAUAGCCCAGAGAAAUUUGGAUUAAUACCUCAUAAUACUUCGGAAAGGAAUCUUUCUGAUUUUAAAGCUUCGGCGGUUUGGGAUAGGCAUGCGUUCUAUUAGUUAGUUGGUGAGGUAAUGGCUCACCAAGACCACGAUAGAUAGGGGGCCUGAGAGGGUUAUCCCCCACACUGGUACUGAGACACGGACCAGACUCCUACGGGAGGCAGCAGUGAGGAAUAUUGCACAAUGGACGAAAGUCUGAUGCAGCCAUGCCGCGUGCAGGAUGAAUGCCCUAUGGGUUGUAAACUGCUUUUAUAUAGGAAGAAACUUUUCUACGUGUAGAAAACUGACGGUACUAUAAGAAUAAGGACCGGCUAACUCCGUGCCAGCAGCCGCGGUAAUACGGAGGGUCCAAGCGUUAUCCGGAUUUAUUGGGUUUAAAGGGUCCGUAGGCGGUAUUAUAAGUCAGUGGUGAAAGCCUGCAGCUUAACUGUAGAACUGCCAUUGAAACUGAUUUUCUUGAAUAUAGAUGAAGUGGGCGGAAUGUAUCAUGUAGCGGUGAAAUGCAUAGAUAUGAUACAGAACACCGAUUGCGAAGGCAGCUCACUAAACUAUUAUUGACGCUGAGGCACGAAAGCGUGGGGAGCGAACAGGAUUAGAUACCCUGGUAGUCCACGCCGUAAACUAUGAUCACUCGAUGUUGGCGAUACACAGUCAGUGUCUAAGGGAAACCGAUAAGUAAUCCACCUGGGAAGUACGGUCGCAAGAUUGAAACUCAAAGGAAUUGACGGGGGCCCGCACAAGCGGUGGAGCAUGUGGUUUAAUUCGAUGAUACGCGAGGAACCUUACCUGGGCUUAAAUGUAUUUUGACAGACUGGGAAACCAGUCCUUCUUCGGACAAUUUACAAGGUGCUGCAUGGUUGUCGUCAGCUCGUGCUGUGAGGUGUCGGGUUAAGUCCCAUAACGAGCGCAACCCCUAUCCUUAGUUGCCAGCGAGUAAUGUCGGGGACUCUAAGGAAACUGCCGGUGCAAACCGUGAGGAAGGUGGGGAUGACGUCAAAUCAUCACGGCCCUUACGUCCAGGGCCACACACGUGCUACAAUGGUCAGUACAGAGGGCAGCUACAUGGUGACAUGAUGCGAAUCUCGAAAACUGAUCUCAGUUCGGAUCGAAGUCUGCAACUCGACUUCGUGAAGCUGGAAUCGCUAGUAAUCGCGUAUCAGCAAUGACGCGGUGAAUACGUUCCCGGGCCUUGUACACACCGCCCGUCAAGCCAUGGAAGCUGGGAGUGCCUGAAGUCGGUGACCGCAAGGAGCUGCCUAAGGUAAAACUGGUAACUAGGGCU
rnacentral:rRNA from 1 species